UUAGAUGUUAUGAUUUGUUAUUUAGAAGUGUGUUAUAAGGUGUUAAUUAGUGAUCUGGGUUGUUAAAUCCCAGAUCCAUAACAUCAAAGUGCUCGAAAUUUGAGUUUUUAGAAAUCUGGAAAUCUGGAAAAAUAUGGCCUAACAGUCAUAUGUCAGAGUCCUUAGAUCUGUGUGUUUGAUGUUUGGUGUACUUUAUGUUAUAGAUCUGUUCUUUGAUGUUAGGGCUUUAUUUUGAGACUUGAAUCAACUUCAUAACAUGUUUAGAUUAAAAGUUAUUAAUGGUCAAACUACGUUGACCGAGCACGAAAAUUGUUUCUGGAAAACCCAGAAAAUUCCCAGAUUUUCAGAAUUUCUGGCAAGCAUUUUCUAAGCUUCUGAUCUUGCACAUGUUUGAUAUUUAGACCAUGUUGUUGCUUUAAGCUUGUUGUCUGGUAUGUAGACUACACAUCAAAGCCCUUAUACCCACCAGAUCAUUCACUGGAUCGUAGACAAUAUUGGUCAAAUGAAGUUGACCGAUAUGCCUGAAGAACAAUCUGGAAAACCCAGAUUGUUCAUGAACACGUACCUGACAGGUACUUUGACUAGCCUUGAUUUCUUAAAACAUGUUGUUGUUAAACUGAG
rnacentral:lncRNA from 1 species